CUUCCCAUCCCAGCCCUAGGGAGGCCCAGGGUGCCCUGUCCACGGGCUCUGGAGACUGGCAUCAAGUUCUCCUAGUGUCAUCUGGAUGUGGUCCUGUGUGCCAACAUGACAGGAAUCAUCACCUUCAGCAUGCCGCUUUCUGCUUGUCCCCAGUUCACAGCUCCUGCCCAAUAGAACACCCCAUGGGGAGAAGAGGUCAAAGCACCCCCAUUGCCAUGGUAGCAGGAGUUUUUCUAGGAGCCGAGGAUACAGUAGUGAACAAGCCGAGCGUGUCCCUGGUGUCACAGAGAUUACAACAAUAAACCAAGAAGCAUUAAACACAACGUCAGAAAGUGAAAGUGCUAUGAAGAAAAAUUGCAGCGGCUAUGAGACUAGGCCUCUCGGAUCUCCGUCUGCCGCCUGUUUUAUCCUCUCAGGAUCCUCAAGGGGGCAAGGGAGUUGGCACCAGCAGCUUUGAAAUCCACACUGACAGCUUCCAACCCAGAGACAGAAGGAGCGACGCCUCUAACUUCAAUGGGAGGGCAAAAAACUCCAGAGAACUGAUCUGAUUGGUUUAGAGGAUACUCCCUGAACCAGUUACCAUGGACAAAAGGAAGAGAUAAUAUGACUGGCCAGCCCACUGGGGAAGGCACACCGGGAAAUAACCUUCAGCCAAAUAUCUGGGCAUCCUGUGAAACACUCAAGUUGACGUGUAAAAUUAACCAUCACAGCCAGUGUGGAGCAGAGGAGUGAGCAAGAGGAAGAUGGACAAGAGAUGCUAUCAGAGUGAUGGGGAAGGACUCAACCAAAAAGGGGUUAUAGAAUACAAUGAGCAGGUUGGGUUUUAGUCUGAGUUCAGCAGAAGCCUUUGGAGGACUUUGAGUGAGGAACCAACAUGAUCUGAUUUACCUUUUCAAAAUGCCCCUCUGUGGAGUGUUUGCUGGCCACGUGGUGGGGGAGGGGGGUGACGUAGAAGUAGGGAGUCAGUGUUGGUAAGUGUGUUGGUCAGCAUGGGCUGAGUAAGACCAGAGUAAUGAUGCUUCAUGUCUUAUAGCUCUACUCCACAUCAUCUCCACUCUAGAAUAUGUGCCUCUGUAUGCAACGCUCAUUGGUCUCCUGGUAGAGACAAAAACGAUGGUGGUGAAUCACAUACAAAUUCUGCACUCUUUCGCCUCAAAGUGACACACAUCACAUCCUUCACAUUUCCUUGACUGAGUGAAGUCUUAUGACUAACCCUGGCAUCAUUGGAGGUGGGGAAAUAUAAUCCUCCACCAAGAGGAACAGUGAAUACUUGGAAACUAUGGUCCGA